rnacentral:lncRNA from 1 species
UUAGGGUCUGUAGGAGGCUAAUAUGUUAAAACAACCGUAGCAACACCUUGCAUACGUGAAGCUCUUGCCUCGGCUUUCAGGACCUAGAUGCCUCGGAGCGCCUCACGCUUUUUUAGAAACCAAGGCCUUACUUACACAAGCCAUUUUCAAUAAAGGGAACCAAAGAAUGCUUUAUUUUGGGCAAAACUGAAUGCAAUGAAAUUAAUAUAAUAAUAUAACCUCCCUAGUCAUAUAUUAAAAACACUAAUUAGUUAUAAUAAUCCUGAAUUUUUGGACAAAAAGUGUUUCGAGAGUUACCCAACAUGUCUAACAAUAUCCAGUAU